rnacentral:tRNA from 2 species
GGGUUGGCGCAGACGCCCGAGGAACGGACUUUUAAUCUAUUGGUCGCGGGUUCGAAUCCCGCAGGACCCACCA